GACAGAGGAUGCAAGCGUUAUCCGGAAUGAUUGGGCGUAAAGCGUCUGUAGGUGGCUUUUAAGUCCGCCGUCAAAUCCCAGGGCUCAACCCUGGACAGGCGGUGGAAACUACCAAGCUGGAGUACGGUAGGGCAGAGGGAAUUCCGGUGGAGCGGUGAAAUGCGUAGAGAUCGGAAAGAACACCAACGGCGAAAGCACUCUGCUGGCCGACACUGACACUGAGAGACGAAGCUAGGGAGCGAAUGGG
rnacentral:rRNA from 1 species